GUCUUCUUUUUAUUGUUAUGGAUGAUAGAUGUUAUAUUACCUGCCACGUUAGGUCUGUUUUUUUUUUGUUUGAUUUUUUUUCUUCUUUGUAUCGAUCUGACGAGUAAUCAAUUGAUUUUCAUAGUUUGUUCUUAUGUUUCGCUAUUAUAUCACGGUCCCAAUUAAGGGGAAGGUUGAGCACUCACAAAUAUGUUUAACUCCGCCACAUUCUUUAUGUGCUUGCACCUAUAUUGAGAAUUCAUGUCAGUGGUUGUUGUUCGUUGAUGUUCUUCAUAUUUGUUUUCGUAAAUUGUUAUCAAAAAGUCUGUUAGUUUUCUCAUUUUAAUUGUUUAAUAUUUUUUUUAAUGUCGGGCCAUUUUAGAGUCGACAAUACAAUAUGUUUUUUUUUUUAUUUAUGAAGGCCAUACGGUUGCCUUAAAUGCGUGUAUCCGCUUCAUUUGUACUUUGGUGUAUAAUGUCUAAUUUGCUGUUAUACCAUAGAAUCUUUUUUUUAUAUUGAAGUUACUAUAUCGAAAGGAAAAUAUGUAGUAUUCUGAUACAAGUUGAAGAU
rnacentral:lncRNA from 1 species